CUUCCUUACACCACUUUUAUUAGGUACUAGCCACAGCAUACCAGUAACACAACACUAGAUAUGCUAUUUUUUAGAUGCUUAGAUCCAUCAUCUUACCAUUACCGUCAUGGCCAAAGUCACUCAGAUCUUUUUGCUUGCCCAUUUUUCCUGCUUCCAACACAUGAAAUUCAAGAACUGGCUGUUCUCUUGCUGCCUCAUAUUUUCCACCCCUUUACAGGUGCUAUUGUAAUGAUAUAAUCAAUGUUAUUCACUUCACCUCUCAGUGGUUUUAAU